ACGGGAGGCAGCAGUAGGGAAUAUUGCACAAUGGGGGAAACCCUGAUGCAGCGACGCCGCGUGAGUGAUGAAGUAUUUCGGUACGUAAAGCUCUAUCAGCAGGGAAGAUAAUGACGGUACCUGACUAAGAAGCCCCGGCUAACUACGUGCCAGCAGCCGCGGUAAUACGUAGGGGGCAAGCGUUAUCCGGAUUUACUGGGUGUAAAGGGAGUGUAGGUGGUUUUGCAAGUCAGAUGUGAAAGCCCGCGGCUCAACUGCGGGACUGCAUUUGAAACUGUGGAACUUGAGUGCAGGAGAGGAAAGUGGAAUUCCUAGUGUAGCGGUGAAAUGCGUAGAUAUUAGGAAGAACACCGGUGGCGAAGGCGGCUAUCUGGACAGUAACUGACGCUGAGGCGCGAAAGCGUGGGGAGCAAACAGGAUUAGAUACCCUGGUA
rnacentral:rRNA from 1 species